rnacentral:lncRNA from 1 species
ACAUUCCUUUAUAUUACGGUUUAGUAAUUCUCUUAUUUCAGCUCGUGAUAAGAUGCAUGUAGCAUUUUUUUAGUUAGUCCAGGUAAAGAACCUGUAACAUCCAGCCACUUAUGACAAGAAUGCAGUAAAAAAAAAAAAUGGUUAAAUUGAUCAUAUACGUCCGCUCAUCUUCAUGACCUACCAAUAAAAUGUGGAACUUUACCAAUAUAUAUCUUAUGGCGCAUUUGUCGUGGCAAAAUUCAAACAAGAUUUUUUUUGUGCUCAACCUUCUGUUUUUCCAUCCAUCCAUUCAAUUAUUCAGUUUAGCCGUAUUUAUUGGUUAUUUCAAUAGACUUACGCUACCAGUAUUAUAUCAAGGUUUAAAUCACCUUUCAGAAAGAGGUGCCUAAAAACGUACACAGAUUCACCCUAGUUAAACAAAGUAUUAUCGUCUAUUCGUGGGUAAAAAUAACUUAAACAAUAAAGGAUGUUUAUAAGGAAACCAAUAUUAAGUCUGCGGUUUACCCUUUCUUGUUAUUUCGCCGCACGCGUUGUCUCAGCAUACAGCAAAAGACCUCAGGCUGUGUCUGGAGUACGAGGGCACGCCACGAUUAAUAGGAGCAGACAAUGAAAUGUUUUGAGAUACAACCCUAUAAUCAACAACAAUGAAGUGGACAUCAAAGAAAACAUCUCAAGCUGUUUUCAUAAUCUAGUCAGGAUUUAUAGGAUUUUAUAUAAGAGAAAAGCAAAACUCUCCAAUGAGUAGUUAUGAGUCUUUUGCGGUUAGAAGUCACACGCCCAGCAUGUAUUGCCGGGGUGACGACAGCACUAAGUAGUUCGGUCGAAACAAAUGACUUGUUCCACGUGGUAUUUCACAAUAAAAGCAAACUAAUAUCCCAUCUAGUGUUUAAGAAAAUCAUUAUUGGAUAACAGACCAAGAGUACCAAAUAGUUUUUUGCCUUUUGACACAACCUAUAACCAAGCUACGCUUAAUCUCAAAAAAGUUCUCAUAAAACACUUGCAGAUUAAUUGUCUUCAACUCCUAACCAAUGUUGCUAGUAUCUCACUGAGAUCCUCCAACAGUGUCUUACAGGAAGGUUCAAAACAGAAAGGAAAACUCGCCCAGAAAUCUCCUAGUGAGAGCUAAACUACUUUCCACGAAAACUACAGCCAGCUCAUUGAAAACGGCGAAUGUAGAAUGUGAUGGCAAUACACACACCCUUGAACAAAAGUCAGUAAGGGUCAGUGAUUCAUAUCUGUUCACUUCAGUUCAUUGUUCCCACUAAGGACAUCAGAAAAAGAUGACAAAUAUUUCUGAUUCGACAAGAUGUAACAUGAGGAUAACAAAUAAUGUGUUUGUAAAAAAAGGAAAUUAUUAUUAUUUAUUAUCUUAUUUUAAGAUGCAGGGUUUGAUUUCUAGCUCCAUAAACUACCAUACGUAAUUAAGCUUAGUCGUUAUAAAUGAGUUCUGUCAUCAAAGCCAUCAUUUUAUCACUGUUUAUACGUGCUUUAUCUAAAAGAUUACGAAAGUCCUCAAACAGUCGGUCCGGUGGUAGCUCCUUACGACUUGACUUGCUUGACAAGGGCACACAGUAGUCUCAAGUAUGAACACGACAUCAAAAACAAUAACUACUAGCUGUGAGAUACUUAAUUAAGUGAUUCUUCGAAGUGAAUAUCCCUUGUUAUCCAGUGUAAAAACCUGAAUUUGACAAUUAACAUCUACGGGCAACUGCUUUUAUGACUUGCAAUGAAUAUUAGUGGCGUCGCUGGUCAGAGAUAAUGACUUUUGAUUAGCUCAUAAUAAUUAACGAUAAAGAGAAGCUACACAUUCUCUACUGAAGUGUUAAGCUGUGUUUGUCACCACCGUCAUCGUUGGUAUUUAUUUUCCAGAACCGUGACUAUUUGGUUAUUUCGAUUAAUCAUCCACUAAUUGAUCGCGCUUGCAAGCACGACCAAGCAAUGACUAUUGUUGGUUUCUCAGUGAUGUGGUUCAUUCUUGAAGAGAAAGGAUAGAAAGUUCACAUGGCUAGAUCAGAGAGAUCAUUUCACUCAAUUCCACUCAUUCUUUGUCGUCAAAAAAGAGAUUUAGAGUACA